rnacentral:lncRNA from 1 species
CAUUGAUUAGAUAAAGACUAAUUCUUACUGCUUUGCCUCUGCUAUAUUAAACAAAAGGACUCCCUUCAUUAAAUUAACAAGGGAAGCAACCUAUAAAAUUAAUUAGGGAGGAAAGAAGGGUAAAAUUAAUCCCAAUAAAUGGUAAGAGAAGGGUUUAUUUUAGUGCGACUUGGACAUUUUGCAAUUGUGAGGAUGUUUUAUAAGUAUCAUUCAUCUUGGUAAAGGAUUGAUACCAGUGGAAAUUGAAAAUGGUGAUGCUUCCAACCCUGAUUUUGUUUUAGCUGUAGUCUUAGAAUUAAGGCUUUUUCCUGCAUCUUUUGGUGUGACAGAGAAAGGAUGCCUGUCAAAAUCGAUCAAAAAGCUGGCAUUAAUUGGAAGCACGAAAUUCCUAAUGUUCUAAUCACACACACACACACACACACACACACACACAGAUUGUAAAAGUUUAAUGCUGUGACCUUCAAAAGCACAUAUUAUACAGCACAGAAAUCAACACCCUUCCUCAACAGCAACCAGGGGAUCAAUUAUCAGUGGCAUGAUGCCCGGAGGCAGGUCAUUGAUCAUUUCUAUUGCCUUGACCGUGAUUGCUGUUGCUAUGGUUAAUGAAUGUUAUUGAACCUGCUACCCAACCCUAAUGGUGAGCAUCACCCACGUCCUUGUCCCCAUUUUCCAAUAUUUCAGGAGAAUGGGGUUAGAAACCCAGGUUUAAAAGGUUGUCAAACUCUAGCGGGUUGGUUUUUUUUUGUUUUGUUUUGUUUUGUUUUGUUUUGAAUGACUUGUUUGCUGUAAAAGAUACUGCCAGAUAGUUUCAUGAAGAUCUUUGCCUUUAUAAAAGUAAUGGAAGCUCAAAUUCUAUGUGAAACAUUGUUUGUAUUUCAGUCUGCAGUAAAAGCCUAUUGGUCCACUGGCAAUAUUUUGGAGAACCUGGACUGGCCACUAAAUGUCCACGCGCUUGGAGCCUUUGGUUUCUUGAGAGAAAUGGAGAAAGAAAGGGGCCACGAGGCACCUGAUGCCCCAGUAUGUUGAUGUGUAGUUCUCAGAACUCUAGACAGCUUCCUGGCUACUGGUUCCUGUGGUUCUGAUCCUCCCUCGGUGUAGACUCAUCCAGCAGACAGCCUCGGAGGGUUACAAUCCGGGAGUCAGCAGGGGCCGAGGUCUCGUCGGAAGCGGGACUGGGGGAGGGUCUGCUUUCAGACGCGGUGCUUGUGGUCCCAUUCGGUUCCCUGGGUGUCCCGGGGAGGGCGUCCCCAACUCUUGCAUCACUUCCGUGACCAGGAGGCCCCAGAGCAGCGGAGCGAGGAGGAAGGACCCAGGGCACAGAUACUCCCACUGCCCCAACCCAGAGCCCGUCAACUGCCCGACACACAGCGAGCCCAUCGAAGAAAACAGGCCCCCGAGUCCAGUCUAAAUCCCACCCCCAAAGCCAGGAGCUAAGUAAAAACGUAGAUGUGAAGCCACCGGUCUGAGGCAGCUUGUUAAGGCAAUGUCGCUUUGUCGAAUAAAACUGAUGCACUUAUUAUUAAUCCUUCUCA